rnacentral:rRNA from 1 species
UACGGAGGAUGCAAGCGUUAUCCGGAAUGAUUGGGCGUAAAGCGUCCGCAGGUGGCUAUGUAAGUCUGCUGUUAAAGAGUGAGGCUCAACCUCAUAAGAGCAGUGGAAACUACAUGGCUAGAGUGCGUUCGGGGCAGAGGGAAUUCCUGGUGUAGCGGCGAAAUGCGUAGAGAUCAGGAAGAACACCGGUGGCGAAAGCGCUCUGCUAGGCCGCAACUGACACUCAUGGACGAAAGCUAGGGGAGCGAAUGGG